rnacentral:tRNA from 1 species
GGGCGCGUGGCGGAACUGGUAGACGCGCAUGGUUGAGGGCCAUGUGGGCCUAGCCCGUGGAGGUUCGAUUCCUCUCGCGCCCA